GGGGGGGGGGGGGAAUCGUGAGAAUUCCGUUCGGAUUUAAUGCAAUAACUAACUAGUAUCCAUAACUAUUGUAACAAUUAUGAUGUAAUUGUAAAGAAAAAUAAGGGGUUACUGAUUAUAAUGACGACGAUCAAUCGUGGAGCGGAAGGAGCGUACGGAACUGAGCUAUAACAGUUGUUUUGUUUGUUUGUUUGUAUUUUUUUCGUUUUUAUGGACCACACAAAAUUUGCUUCCACCUUUCUCUCGUGCGUGCGUUUCCGAUUGAACUAAAAGUUCACGUUUCAUCCUUUCGAACACGGUGACUUUCUGCCCGGUGUUUGGUCUUGAUGUGCGCAUGUUGAUGCCAAACAUACCGGACGUGCGAAUGCCUGAACGGGAGGUGAACGACUAAACUUGCAACUCCUGUGCGACCUGCAACUUCGGAUUUGCGUCAGCUGAACAUGUGUUUCGCUGUGAAGGAAUUGAACUCUAUUUACAACCAAGAUAGCAGAGUGUGCCAAAACAUCGCGGUAGGAUCGCGGGAUACUGAGAGUAAUCUAAAGACGCGCACCGCUUGCAGAGAUGCUUCUUUCGGGGUUUCAGGCAGAUCAGGAAUUACUUCGAACGCGCUGACGUUCUCAAAAUGGGCUCGUCAGAUGGAAUGCAGUAGAAAGGGAAACACACAGAAUUUGUUGUGCGCCAGUCCUGAGGUAUCCGUUGGUUCUAUUUCCGAUUGGCGCUCCUAAUUAUAGUAAUGAUCGUGUAGUAGGUGCAUUACACGUUCGAUGAUGCCCUAGAUCAUUUACACCUGCCAGCAGGGGGUAAUAUACAGAAACGGCAGACCUAUGCAACGCAGUAUUAAGGUUCCAUUCAUUAACGAUUAGGUUAGGAAAAGCGAAAGGCAGUUCCGUGUACCCGGCCACUCUGACAGAGACAGAGGUCACAGGAAAUCACUAGCGUUUUUAAGAGACAUUAAACGACACAGAAUGUGCUGCAUUGUUUUGUGCGUUUGUUUUUUUUCUCUUCUUGUUUUCUUUUGGGGGGGUUCUGUGUCUUAUAACCUUGAUUGUUUAUUAUUUUAACCAAUAGAACGAUAAGUACCACCACCUGUGCUACGACCGGGGCAUACGAGCGCGGUGAAAGCAAACAGGAAAGAGACAUACUACAAGGCAAUGGUUCCGUUUAAUCAGCUUAGAAUUAAAUUUAAACAAUUAAGCUAAAAAAAAUUAUCAAAAAAUUCAAACCAUUACUGAUAACCUACUUUAAAGUUCUAGCUACUAAUUCGUGUGAGCAUGAGUGUGUCUGUGGGGUGCAAUGAGUGCAGAUACGGGAUGGGACAAUGCAAAAUGAAUGGUGGUGUGGGUCGUGGUGGUACAGAGACAUUCGAAGGAAUUCGAUUGAUCGCCGGAUGAAAGUGAAAGGAUUCUUCCUUUGCUCUUUCCAGCACGUGUCGUGUACCAUAUCUAAAGGAUCUUGACCCUUCCUGCUAAAAUGCUUAACGUUUAUGCUUUUGUCUACUACUGAAAGGAACGCAUGCUUCACGAUACUAAAGGUACGGCACAUAAGUUACGAUGAGGCAAUAGAAUUCAAACUACACAAACGUUCAAUAGAGACAGUCCCAUUCAGCGGUUUAGGAAUGAUUGUAACAAUAUUAUAGUUUCAUUAUGUUACACUUUUCCGCACUUUCGUUAUUGGGAACUCUAAUUUGCUAUACAAUCGGGCUUAGAAAGCAUCAGAGAGACAUCGAUCGAGACCAGGAAUGCGUUUUAUUUGCAGGAAUGUACCAAUACAAUAAAGCAAAAAUUAUCCAAACCAC